UAUAUUGAACACUGAUGAAGAGAAUCAAGAAUUUCUUUAUUCACCAGGCUACUGUAAGGAGUUUUGGGGUGCUCUUUGUGGUAGAUAUGAAUUUGGAAUUGGGAGGAGGGGGAUGAAGGUUGACACAGGAAAGAAAAGAAACAGAGACAAUUUCAAGUCUAAACCAAACAAUUAAGCAAAGCACUUCCCAUUUUAUGGAGAAAAUGGGAUUGAACAGUUUCAAAAGUUUUAAUAUCUGUUCACCACCAGGAUGCUUUCUAACUAUCCAUUACAGCAUAAUUGUACAACACCCUAUCUCUCUUCCACAUCUCCUUUUUCUUUCUUUCUUUCUUUCUAAUGUUGCUUACAUUUGAAAUUUACAUGCUUCAUCAAUGCUGAUACAAACCCUCUCUGUGACAGGAAAAGGCACAACUAAUCCUCCCAGUCUUAUUCUGCGAAGAAAAAUAACAUGGCUAUUCACAGUAGUUAGAACCGCUUGUUUGCUAUGUUGCUGCAUACCAUUUUGCCAAUCUCUAAUUGUGAUUACAACUGGAGUUUAGAUCUUAUCGUAAUCCCUCUUGUAUGCCAUCAUGGCACAUGCAAUCUCUUCACACAUGCACAUAAACAAUCGCAUUCAACAACGUUGCUCUAUACUUUCUCUUGUGAAAUGGGGGUCCAACUGUAACCAGAAAAUACCUGCAAUGACUCUUUCAGCCUCCAUACCUUGGCCUAAUUCUUUGUAUUUUACAAAAAUUGCUACUUUUUAAGUUUGUUAAAAGCUCAGUCAAGCCAUGAAUUUAUGUUUUGUCUUCAAUCCAAUGCUUGAACUGCUGCUAUCCCAGAUUGUAUCAGUCUGCUGAAUCCAUAUUGCAUUGGGAAUCCUGUGCACUUUCGGGAUUCUGUUCCAGAUGGAGCAAAUGGUACUAAUUGAGAAAUCUUUGUCCGUCUACACCCUCGAGUACAUGUUCUGUGUAUACAAUUUGUCUAUCUUUGUUGAUGCUGGUGUACUGGAGAAGUGUCACAAAUGUAUCAUUUCAUUGCAAUCUGAAUCCGAUCAGUGUUCUAUUCCAUCCCAAAUCUAGGAUGCAAGAUCGUCUGUUCUGUCAUUUUUGAACAUUUUCUUUUUAUGGGUUUGUUGUGUACAAUGUUUUCUUAUGGUUACUAGAUCUGAACACCUUCAUCAGCUCUUAAGGUUUUGGAGGUCCUCUUUUGCUACUAACAUUGUUAAUAUCUAUGUAAAUGUAUUUGAUUCGAUGCAGACAAUCUAUAGGAUCAGCUUUGGCCAAAUAUACCUGAGCAAACCUAUGAUGACGGAGUUGGAUGGAGAAACUGCAACUUUGUUCCCAAAGGCUGCAAGGCCGAGGAACCUGACUUACUCUGCACAACAUGGCCCAUGUUUUGGACAGUCCAGAUUGGUGGUAUGUAUGCUGCUUUACAGUAGGCCUGUGAUGGUGAUGAGGAUAGCUUGCUUGGAUACAACGUUCACAGUGAUAGCAUUUGAAUGCUAUCAUUGAGGACGACCAAUCAGAGAAUGUCUUGAGCUCAAACGGUGCACCAGUCUUUCCUCCAAGACUCUCUUCCUACUCCUGCAUACAGAUGAAUGGCAAGGAGGUUUUCCACUUUGUUGUUUGAUGUGUGCCUUAGUCAAUUGAAACAUCAUUAGAAAGAGCUGGUCUCGUGAGUUCCAACAUCGAUUGGUUACUGCUACAUCAGGUAUAAAAUCUCCAAAUGUUAAUGGCAAUGCUAGUGAAAAGAAAGAAAAAGAACUAAUGGAGUGAUGAAUCGAUGCAGGCGAACUUAAGAAUCAUCGUUGUGCUCGUUCUUCUCCUUGUAGCCCACCUAAAUUCAUCAGCAUUUCAUGGUUUGAAACUCUUAUUAUUAUUAUCUUUUUAAUCUUCUCCUUUUGUUGUGUUUAGUUGUACCAAAAAUAAUUAAAUUUCAUGAUAUCUGGUGCAACCAAAUGCACCCUUUAUUGCCUUUUAUAUUUGUCUACCAAUCUAAAAUGCUUCGAAUUGAAUGGAAUCACCUUAUGAAGGGUGUGAUGCUACCACUGCCUAAGAGGGGACAUUAAUUCCAUCUAGCCAGCAGGAUCCACACAAACAGAGAGCAGGCAGUAUCUCAGAUAUACAGCUGCUAGCACAGCAUGGUUGAGUCAAAUGAUCCAGCAACUGAAGUACAGAAGCCUCAGAUGAACCAGCUCCUACUACCAACAUCACCCAGUCAACUAGUACAGAAGAUAGACUCUGUUGCAAGUUCUAUUAUCAGUAUUAUUUCCACCUUUUAAGUUCUGAACAUGAAGAGCAUCUUUGUUGUUAUUUGCUGCAAUUUUAUUUAUUUAUUUAUUAUAUAUUUGUGGAUUUUUUUUUGACUGGAUUAAGUGGGCCUGGGUUGUAUUAUUAGAGUGGUUCUUUCACCUGCAACAUUAUAAAUAAAGCGGUGUAGAGAGAUCUUUCUACACUUUUUCUUCUGCUUUAA